rnacentral:rRNA from 1 species
GAUGAACGCUAGCGGCAGGCCUAAUACAUGCAAGUCGGACGGGAUUUGGGAGCUUGCUCCUAAUGAGAGUGGCGCACGGGUGCGUAACACGCAUGUAACCUACCUUAAUCAGGGGGAUAGCCUCUCGAAAGAGAGAUUAACACCGCAUAAUAUAUUUUUAUGGCAUCGUAGAAGUAUCAAAUAUUUAUAGGAUUAAGAUGGGCAUGCGGAACAUUAGCUAGUUGGUAAGGUAACGGCUUACCAAGGCUACGAUGUUUAGGAGAUCUGAGAGGAUGACCCCCCACACUGGUACUGAGACACGGACCAGACUCCUGCGGGAGGCAGCAGUAAGGAAUAUUGGUCAAUGGGCGCAAGCCUGAACCAGCCAUGCCGCGUGCAGGAAGACGGCCCUAUGGGUUGUAAACUGCUUUUGUACCGGAAUAAACCCUUUUACGUGUAGAAGGCUGAAUGUACGGUAAGAAUAAGGAUCGGCUAACUCCGUGCCAGCAGCCGCGGUAA